rnacentral:rRNA from 1 species
UACCAGCACCCCGAGUGGUCGGGACGAUUAUUGGGCCUAAAGCAUCCGUAGCCGGUCCUACAAGUCUUCCGUUAAAUCCACCUGCUCAACAGAUGGGCUGCGGAAGAUACUAUAGGGCUAGGAGGCGGGAGAGGCAAGCGGUACUCAGUGGGUAGGGGUAAAAUCCUCUGAUCCAUUGAAGACCACCAGUGGCGAAGGCGGCUUGCCAGAACGCGCUCGACGGUGAGGGAUGAAAGCUGGGGGAGCAA